GUUUAAUUCUAGCCAAAAGCAAAGGAACAUGAUGUGUUGGUCAGCCUGUGCAGCAUCACUGCAGGCUGCUGGGUGACAGUUCACAAACUUUUGCGAUAUGCUAAAAACAGGCCAUGAAACCCGGUGGACUCACCCUGUUACCAGUAGAAGGUGUCGGAGCUACUGGCAGUGAAUCCACACACAUCUGUACCAACCUCAGUUCUUGCCUCCUCAGAAGAAAGAAUUUGACUGAGGGGCUCAAGGCAGAAAAAAAGAGACCGAGGGAAGUUCCAGAGCAGGAAAGGUGGGCUGCCCACCUGUACAGCGCUGUCCUUACGCCUGGGAACUGAGCAUGCGCAGUGAGCUUAGGACGUCGUACGCGGCCAGCUCCCUUUUCCCGUGGAGGCCCCGGAAGGUCGUGCUCCACCAUUUUGUCUCUUAACGUGCAUGCGUGAGCUCAACUGUGGAUCUUCAGGAGAUUGUCUCUCCCUGGGGCCGGCUGCUGAAUUACCACUUUUAGAAGGGCUGUGUGACCACCUGACAUUUCUCCUGGGUAUGGGAGAGCCGUCUCCUGUCCUGCUCAUGCCUGUCUAACUGCCUGCAACAGACCCCAGUGACACCCGAGAGUCAGGAUGUGUGCUUUGGAACAAUACCAUCUGCCAGUUCCAUCAGAGUAAAGAUAACUGCACAAUGUAACCGCCCAGUGGGCUCUUCUUGCCUGUUGCCCAGAGAGAGCUGAUUUAUUAAGGCAGAGGAAUUGCAAUGGAGAGUUUAAUUCGCACAGAGCCAGCUGAAGGGGAGACUGGACUCAUUAUUACUCAAAUCAGUCUCCCCAAGAAUUGAGGGGCUAGGGUUUUUCAGAGGUAGUUUGUGGAAAGGGGGGGUUGUCUAGGCAAUGGGUGCUUGCUGCCCAUUGGUUGGGGGUACAAUCAGAGGGUUAUGGGAAAUGGUCCUCAUGUGAGCUGAGUCUUUUCUGGGUAAGGCCACAGGAACAUGUGGGAGAUCCAGGUGGAGCCCUCAUCAGUGUGAGACAUGCAGAAAACCUGAAAAGACAUCUCAGAAGGCCAGUCUUACAUUCACAGUAGUGAUAUUAUCUGCAGGAAUAAUCAGGGAAGUUGCAUAUUUUGUAACCUCUGGAAUAAUGGCUGGCAACUGUUUAUGUCUACACCUUAGCCAAAUUCAGGUUCCUCUAUCCUCCUAGCCUGGUGGUCUAUCCUUAGCUUUACAAAGGUGGUUGAAUUUGGGGGAAAGGCUAUUAUCAUUUAAACUAUAAACUAAAUAUCUCCCAAUCCAAGCCCAGGAAUAAUUAAGGGCAGUUGAAGGCUAA